CACAAAGAGGGAUGGAGGAACAAACUGCCACAGACAAGCCACAGAUGCUGUUUUCUGAACGGUGCCAACAACAUAAGGCCAGCGGAGACUGAUCAAGCUAUGGUGUGGACAGGAAUUAGCCUGGCGAGCGCAGCUAGAAGUGCCAAAUGCCGCCGCACAGUGACUGAGGCGAGAGAAGAUGAGAGCACUGCAGUCUUCGUGAAAUGCCUGAACUAUCAAGGGAUGAAGUUCAGUGCAGAUAUUCAAGGUGUGCAGAGAAUGAAUCCUACUGCCUUGGUCAGCUGCUGACUUUUCAUCUAACACCACCCUGAGAGUCAUCUAUUCGUUAUGAAGUGCCUCGUUGUCUAUUGGAUGGACUGUCAUUAUAUCAUGUACAGUCAUUCAUGUUUCCCUCUUGAUGAGCUGUAAUUGCUUUAGUGCUUUAGUCCCUAAACUUUUAAUCUUGUUCCAUCAUCAAGUAUAUUCCCUUUAGCCUCAGCCGUACUGUGAACUGUGCUGCUAUAAUGUAUUAGUUAGUUAUUUAGUUUUGUUUAUUAGCCUUUUGAAAAUGAUUUCCAUGUCAGUGGCAAUUACUGUGCCUCACAUUAUCACCUCAACAACAACACAGAAUGGAAAUAUAUCAAAACACCUCUUAUCACACAGCUUUGUUUUCCAGAGCUUAAAUAUCUGUGCCCAGGAAGUCCGCAAAGGUGGUAAUCUGGAUCUCUAACCAUAUUCACUUCUAUAAUUAGCCAAUAGUAGUAUAGUGUAUUAUAGAGUAUAAUAAUGUGCCAAAGAUGAUGAACAUGGAAAUCUUUACCUGCUAAACAUCAGCUCUUUUGCUUCAUCAUAAUGAGCAUGUACAUGCAUUUGCUCAAUGCAAAUACUGUCUUUAAAUACAGCCUUACAGACUGGCUUGUUGUAGAUUCUCUAGUCUUUUUUUUUUUUUUUUUUU